rnacentral:rRNA from 5 species
GGACCUCAGAUCGGACGAGAUAACCCGCUGAAUUUAAGCAUAUUACUAAGCGGAGG